AAAAAGAGCCUAAACAUUCUUCAGGCACUCAAUCCCAUCCGAUCUUGAAAAUUAAGUAAGGUCAGCCCUGGUUAGUACUUGAGUAGGAGACUGCCAAUGAAUGCCAAGUGCUAUAAGCU
rnacentral:rRNA from 1 species